rnacentral:miRNA from 2 species
GCGGUGAUCCCGAUGGUGUGAGC